CCUGGUUGAUUCUGCCAGUAGUCAUAUGCUUGUCUCAAAGAUUAAGCCAUGCAUGUCUAAGUAUAAGCAAUUUAUACGGUGAAACUGCGAAUGGCUCAUUAAAUCAGUUAUCGUUUAUUUGAUAGUACCUUGCUACAUGGAUACCUGUGGUAAUUCUAGAGCUAAUACAUGCUGAAAACCUCGACUUCGGAAGGGGUGUAUUUAUUAGAUAAAAAACCAAUGCCCCUCGGGGCUCCUUGGUGAUUCAUAAUAACUAAACGAAUCGCAUGGCCUUGCGCCGGCGAUGGUUCAUUCAAAUUUCUGCCCUAUCAACUUUCGAUGGUAGGAUAGUGGCCUACCAUGGUGGCAACGGGUAACGGGGAAUUAGGGUUCGAUUCCGGAGAGGGAGCCUGAGAAACGGCUACCACAUCCAAGGAAGGCAGCAGGCGCGCAAAUUACCCAAUCCCGAUUCGGGGAGGUAGUGACAAUAAAUACUGAUACGGGGCUCUUUUGGGUCUCGUAAUUGGAAUGAGUACAAUUUAAAUCCCUUAACGAGGAACAAUUGGAGGGCAAGUCUGGUGCCAGCAGCCGCGGUAAUUCCAGCUCCAAUAGCGUAUAUUAAAGUUGUUGCAGUUAAAAAGCUCGUAGUUGAACCUUGGGUCUGGCUGGCCGGUCCGCCUCACCGCGAGUACUGGUCCGGCUGGACCUUUCCUUCUGGGGAACUCCAUGGCCUUCACUGGCCGUGGGGGGAACCAGGACUUUUACUGUGAAAAAAUUAGAGUGUUCAAAGCAGGCCUUUGCUCGAAUACAUUAGCAUGGAAUAAUAGAAUAGGACGUGCGGUUCUAUUUUGUUGGUUUCUAGGACCGCCGUAAUGAUUAAUAGGGAUAGUCGGGGGCGUCAGUAUUCAGCUGUCAGAGGUGAAAUUCUUGGAUUUGCUGAAGACUAACUACUGCGAAAGCAUUCGCCAAGGAUGUUUUCAUUAAUCAGGGAACGAAAGUUAGGGGAUCGAAGACGAUCAGAUACCGUCGUAGUCUUAACCAUAAACUAUGCCGACUAGGGAUCGGAC
rnacentral:rRNA from 1 species